CGUGGUUGUUUUUAUCCUGUACGGUGGAAAUAAGCUAUCUAGGAAUUGUUGUUACCCAGAAAGGAGUUUGUUACUGCUCGGAUUCUUCUGGUUGUGCUACAACGCUUCACCAUCGCCAUUUUGAAGCUCCAGGAGAGCCCAUUUUAUUGGUUACUUUGGUCAGGUUUUUUUACUUGGGCGUACAGUUCAGUGAUGAUCCAGUCCAAAGAUGGCGAGCCACCCUUCCAGGAUCCUUGAGAUGAUUGCUUUAAGAAGAGAACUAAAUUCUUUGGACGAACUGUGAACUG